GGCGGAGGUUGCAGUGAGCCGAGAUUGUGCCAUUGCACUCCAGCCUGGAGACAGAGCGAGACUCCGUCUCAAACAUAAAAAUCUGUCAUACUUAUGACCUUACAUAAAUGAAAAAUGAGAGAAAAAUAGCCACUUGAUUUCUUUUUGGCUCUUUUCCUCCUAAAAUCCCUAAAUGCUUCAUAGUAAAUGCCUCAUUCGUUCUCACUACAUUGUGUUAGGUAGGUUGAUAAAAUUUCAUAAAAUAGAUGAGAAAAUUUUAUAUAAGUUUAUUCAGUGCUUGCUAAGCCGAUAUUUUUUUUGUAGUUCCCCUAAAAUAAUGUGGUAAUAGGUUAAAAAUGAUGUAAUUUGUAGAAGACGUCCUCCUCUUUUCUGGUGUAAGCUUGGAUGGGAGUCAUUUAUAGUUCUUCACCAAACACAAGAAAUUGUGGGGAUCAGAUUGGGUUUAGUCUUGAUGUGGUCUGAGGCAACCAGCCAGAGGCAUGGUUUAUGUCGUCUGGUUUUAGACCUUCUGCCACAGUAAUGGUUUCCUAAUGUUUCUAUUUUGCAAUUCUCUAAUCAAAAGAAAACCCAGGAAGAUGUAUCCAUAUAAAUUGACAUAAAUUAUCCAAUCUAGGUGUCAGGCCUAGUGGCUGAAGAUUUCACUUCAAAUGCCAGAAGGAUAAAAACAUAGACUUUUGGAUACAGACCUUCGUUAUUGUACCAUUGUCUCGUGUCACCCUUUGCCACUAAGACAAACUUUCUGCCUCCUUGGAAAGCUCUACAUCUCCUUGUGAUUGGAGUGUGGGUUUCAAGAUUCCAGAAGGUGG